GGAUCAAUCUAUCGGUCGUGCAAUAGUACGUACUGAUUUUAUUGAUUCCUACCUUCUGAUGAACUAUGAUGUCAUUAAUUUGGUGUCAUAGGGAAUCAGGACUGUUACUUUGAAAAAAUUAGAGUGUUCAAAGCAGGCAUUUGCUCGAAUACAUUAGCAUGGAAUAAUAGAAUAGGACCC
rnacentral:rRNA from 1 species